rnacentral:lncRNA from 1 species
CAACAAUUUUGGCAGUGGUAGUGCCCGGAUGACAACCUCUGGAGUAUCUCUCUCUCCAGCAGUAGCAGUGACAUCUGGACCACUUUCUACACGGAACUGGAAUGCAAGGAGAGAGAGUCUCUUCAGUAACUCUCUGGUUAUGAAUAAUAUUUGCAAAGAAAGUAAAUUGAAUAAAAGAAGGAGAGCCUGCUUACUGUCUCAAGCAGAUGCAUUUCCGCUUGCAGCAUGGAGCAAUGCAGGAGUUGUAGCAACAGAGAGCUGAACUCAGAUUACACUGCUGCCCACUACUAGCAACUUGGUGGUAAUCAAAGUGACUUCUUGUU